rnacentral:rRNA from 1 species
UGGGGAAUAUUGGACAAUGGGCGCAAGCCUGAUCCAGCCACGCCGCGUGGGUGAUGAAGGCCCUAGGGUUGUAAAGCCCUUUCGGCGGGGAAGAUAAUGACGGUACCCGCAGAAGAAGCCCCGGCUAACUUCGUGCCAGCAGCCGCGGUAAUACGAAGGGGGCUAGCGUUGCUCGGAAUCACUGGGCGUAAAGCGCACGUAGGCGGACUCUUAAGUCGGGGGUGAAAUCCUGGAGCUCAACUCCAGAACUGCCUUCGAUACUGGGAGUCUUCGAGUUCGGGAGAGGUGAGUGGAACUGCGAGUGUAGAGGUGAAAUUCGUAGAUAUUCGCAAGAACACCAGUGGCGAAGGCGGCUCACUGGCCCGAUACUGACGCUGAGGUGCGAAGCGUGGGGAGCAAACAGGAUUAGAUACCCUGGUAGUCCACGCCGUAAACGAUGGAUGCUAGCCGUUGGCGGGUUUACUCGUCAGUGGCGCAGCUAACGCAUUAAG